GACGAACGCUGGCGGCGUGCUUAACACAUGCAAGUCGAACGGAAAGGCCCUGCUUUUGUGGGGUUCUCGUGUGGCGAACGGGUGAGUAACACGUGUGUAACCUGCCCUUGUCUUUGGGAUAACUUCAGGAAACAGGGGCUAAUACCGGAUAGGAUCUCUUGCUGCACGGGGGGGGUUGGAAAGUGUCGGCGGUUGUGGAUGGACUCGCGGCUUAUCAGCUUGUUUGUGGGGUAGUGGCUUACCAAGGCUAUGACGGGUAGCCGGCAUGAGAGGGUGACCGGCCACAUUGGGACUGAGAUACGGAGCAGACUCCUACGGGAGGCAGCAGGGGGGAAUAUUGCACAAUGGGCGGAAGCCUGAUGCAGCAACGCCGCGUGCGUGAUGACGGCCUUCGGGUUGUAAACCGCUUUCGCCUGUGACGAAGCGGGAGUGACGGUAAUGGGUAAAGAAGCAACGGCUAACUACGUG
rnacentral:rRNA from 1 species